CCUGAAACUGCCCUCAAGCAACUGAAAUGCAGCCUGAUAUGAGUAUCUAUAAAAUAAUAAGACUGCUUAGCCCUCAAAGGGAUGAGAGCAAAGUCAGCGUCUUCAUUAGUUAUUCUGAGGAAUGUAAUUUAGAGCGCUUUGUGAAGAAUCUUAUUAUAAAUUUGAAUUUUGACAAUGACAUUUUACAUCAAGAGUCAAAUUUGUUGAGAAACACCAAAUGCAGUCAUUCUAAGACUGUUACAGAAAAUUAAAUACCUUCUGCUACGAUCAAUAACAAGCAUAUGCAUAAAGAUCUGGCUGAAUGUAGAUACAGUAUCUCUAUUCUUCCCAAACUCCAUCCAAUACUGAAUUUCCUCUUGCCAUCUAUUCUGAACACUAUUAUGUUCUGGGGCUGUAAUCUGUUCCAUUGAUAAAGUCAGUGUCUCCAGCCUUUGUCACCUUCUAAAAGUCAGGGAAUGCAUCUUGAAGACAGUCUUUUCCCAUUUUACAUUUCUCCAAGGAUCAGCUCAAUUCACUAAAUUUGAAUACGAUUUUUACCACUGGAUGAGAACUCUAAGCUCCAGACAUCUGAACCAGAAAAAAAUCACCUUAAGUGAUGAAAAGCGUGGUGUGCAAAUCAACUCUCUGGGUGCCUGUGGAGAGAUUCACAUCCAGCCCCAAUAGGACACAGCUGCACUCGUGUUCAUCUCAACUGAUGGAGUGAAGAAGCCUCAUCUUUAUUCAGUGUGAAGCAGCUGCCAAGAGAAAUGGCCUUUGAGAGAGUUUUGCUGUAGGGUGAUGGAGUGCACCAUCAAGGUGAUACAUUUCAGACAUCGCCUUCCUGCGACACGAGGGAAUCACGGAGCAAAUGGAACAAAGGAAAUUACGGCCCACUGACCAGCACGGAUUCAUAACACAGGAGUGCUGCACAAAUAUGCUCUAUUCUUAUCACAGAGAAUAAGACUUUGGACAAAAAGAACAAAUGCCAAAGCACAGGAUUCCUCUGUGUCGGAACAUAUUCUACGAAACAGGGCCGUGAUGGAAAUGUGUGAUAUAUUUGGGAAACUAUUCUCUGCUCCUCACAAAUGGUUCACCUUCCCUUUUCAUCUUCAAAUUCUAAAUUUCUCCCUUUCCUCCUAUUCUAUUGAUGCAAAAGCGUUUUGUCUGACUGCUAACAAAGCCUCAGUGCUAUGCUCCAGAGGAGAUUCUCUCUGCUCUUGUCUGUCAAACAGAUGACAUAUGCUCCGUUUAACAGAACUGCUACCAAGGGGAGACACAUACUCUCCAAGAAUUACGAAGCAGUUCUCCUAGACUCAUCAAGCUUUGACCUUCUAAUAGAAGAUAGUAUUUCCUUUAAGGUGCCAUAAUAUUGAAACUGGGAAUGAAAUAUUGAGUUCUUUUACCGGGAAAAAAAAAUGCAGAAUAAAAAUAAAC